rnacentral:rRNA from 1 species
ACUCCUACGGGAGGCAGCAGUGGGGAAUAUUGGACAAUGGGCGAAAGCCUGAUCCAGCCAUGCCGCGUGUGUGAAGAAGGCCUUCGGGUUGUAAAGCACUUUCAGUGAGGAAGAAAGCCUUGAGGUUAAUACCCUCGAGGGAGGACAUCACUCACAGAAGAAGCACCGGCUAACUCCGUGCCAGCAGCCGCGGUAAUACGGAGGGUGCGAGCGUUAAUCGGAAUUACUGGGCGUAAAGCGCGCGUAGGCGGCUUGAUAAGCCGGUUGUGAAAGCCCCGGGCUCAACCUGGGAACGGCAUCCGGAACUGUCAGGCUAGAGUGCAGGAGAGGAAGGUAGAAUUCCCGGUGUAGCGGUGAAAUGCGUAGAGAUCGGGAGGAAUACCAGUGGCGAAGGCGGCCUUCUGGACUGACACUGACGCUGAGGUGCGAAGCGUGGGUAGCAAACGGAUUAGAUACCCUGG